UUUGGAGCAAAGUUUUUAACUUCACGAUUUUCAUCUUGACGUCAGUUCAGUGUCGGCCCUGGCCACAAGCAGAAGAAGCAUGGGCUUCCAGCUGACACGAUAAUAAGUAUUUUCGCGGCCACAUAUUUAUAAAAAGUGACUUUAGCCUAGUGGUUCUAAGAGAAAUUACCAGUGCUAGAGGUGCUGGGUUCAAUUACCCUUAACUGCAUUUAUUUAUUUUGGCCCUAAAUAUAAAAU
rnacentral:lncRNA from 1 species